AUUGAACGCUGGCGGCAUGAUUUACACAUGCAAGUCGAACGGUAACAGGCCGCAAGGUGCUGACGAGUGGCGAACGGGUGAGUAAUGCAUCGGAACGUGCCCAGUCGUGGGGGAUAACUACUCGAAAGAGUAGCUAAUACCGCAUACGAUCUAUGGAUGAAAGCGGGGGACCGUAAGGCCUCGCGCGAUUGGAGCGGCCGAUGUCAGAUUAGGUAGUUGGUGGGGUAAAGGCUCACCAAGCCAACGAUCUGUAGCUGGUCUGAGAGGACGACCAGCCACACUGGGACUGAGACACGGCCCAGCCUCCUACGGGAGGCAGCAGUGGGGAAUUUUGGACAAUGGGCGCAAGCCUGAUCCAGCAAUGCCGCGUGCAGGAAGAAGGCCUUCGGGUUGUAAACUGCUUUUGUACGGAACGAAACGGCUCUGGUUAAUACCCGGGGCUAAUGACGGUACCGUAAGAAUAAGCACCGGCUAACUACGUG
rnacentral:rRNA from 1 species